UACGGGGGGGGGUAAGCGUUGUUCGGAAUUACUGGGCGUAAAGGGCUCGUAGGCGGCCAACUAAGUCAUACGUGAAAUCCCUCAGCUUAACUGGGGAACUGCGUCUGAUACUGGAUGGCUUGGAUUCGGGAGAGGAAUGCGGAAUUCCAGGUGUAGCGGUGAAAUGCGUAGAUAUCCGGAGGAACCCCAGAGGCGAAGGCGGCCCCCUGGCUCGUACCUGACGCUCAGCCACGAAAGCAUGGGGAGCGAACGGG
rnacentral:rRNA from 1 species